rnacentral:rRNA from 1 species
AUUGGGACUGAGAUACGGCCCAGACUCCUACGGGAGGCAGCAGUGGGGAAUAUUGCACAAUGGGCGCAAGCCUGAUGCAGCGACGCCGCGUGCGGGAUGACGGCCUUCGGGUUGUAAACCGCUUUUGACUGGGAGCAAGCCCUUCGGGGUGAGUGUACCUUUCGAAUAAGCACCGGCUAACUACGUGCCAGCAGCCGCGGUAAUACGUAGGGUGCAAGCGUUAUCCGGAAUUAUUGGGCGUAAAGGGCUCGUAGGCGGUUCGUCGCGUCCGGUGUGAAAGUCCAUCGCUUAACGGUGGAUCCGCGCCGGGUACGGGCGGGCUUGAGUGCGGUAGGGGAGACUGGAAUUCCCGGUGUAACGGUGGAAUGUGUAGAUAUCGGGAAGAACACCAAUGGCGAAGGCAGGUCUCUGGGCCGUCACUGACGCUGAGGAGCGAAAGCGUGGGGAGCGAACAGGAUUAGAUACCCUGGUAGUCCACGCCGUAAACGGUGGAUGCUGGAUGUGGGGACCAUUCCACGGUCUCCGUGUCGGAGCCAACGCGUUAAGCAUCCCGCCUGGGGAGUACGGCCGCAAGGCUAAAACUCAAAGAAAUUGACGGGGGCCCGCACAAGCGGCGGAGCAUGCGGAUUAAUUCGAUGCAACGCGAAGAACCUUACCUGGGCUUGACAUGUUCCCGACAGCCGUAGAGAUACGGUCUCCCUUCGGGGCGGGUUCACAGGUGGUGCAUGGUCGUCGUCAGCUCGUGUCGUGAGAUGUUGGGUUAAGUCCCGCAACGAGCGCAACCCUCGCCCUGUGUUGCCAGCACGUCGUGGUGGGAACUCACGGGGGACCGCCGGGGUCAACUCGGAGGAAGGUGGGGAUGACGUCAAAUCAUCAUGCCCCUUACGUCCAGGGCUUCACGCAUGCUACAAUGGCCGGUACAACGGGAUGCGACCUCGUGAGGGGGAGCGGAUCCCUUAAAACCGGUCUCAGUUCGGAUUGGAGUCUGCAACCCGACUCCAUGAAGGCGGAGUCGCUAGUAAUCGCGGAUCAGCAACGCCGCGGUGAAUGCGUUCCCGGGCCUUGUACACACCGCCCGUCAAGUCAUGAAAGUGGGUAGCACCCGAAGCCGGUGGCCCAACCUUUUUGGGGGGAGCCGUCUAAGGUGAGACUCGUGAUUGGGACUAAGUCGUAACAAGGUAGCCGUACCGGAAGGUGCGGCUG